rnacentral:rRNA from 1 species
GACGAACGCUGGCGGCGUGCUUAACACAUGCAAGUCGAGCGGUAAGGCCCUUUCGGGGGUACACGAGCGGCGAACGGGUGAGUAACACGUGGGUGACCUGCCCUCAACUCUGGGAUAAGCCUGGGAAACCGGGUCUAAUACUGGAUAUGACUCCAUGACGCAUGUUGUGGGGUGGAAAGCCUUGUGCGGCUGAGGAUGGGCCCGCGGCCUAUCAGCUUGUUGGUGGGGUGAUGGCCUACCAAGGCGACGACGGGUAGCCGGCCUGAGAGGGCGACCGGCCACACUGGGACUGAGACACGGCCCAGACUCCUACGGGAGGCAGCAGUGGGGAAUCUUGCGCAAUGGGCGAAAGCCUGACGCAGCGACGCCGCGUGAGGGAUGACGGCCUCGG